UGGGGAAUAUUGCACAAUGGGGGAAACCCUGAUGCAGCGACGCCGCGUGAGUGAAGAAGUAUUUCGGUAUGUAAAGCUCUAUCAGCAGGGAAGAUAAUGACAGUACCUGACUAAGAAGCCCCGGCUAACUACGUGCCAGCAGCCGCGGUAAUACGUAGGGGGCAAGCGUUAUCCGGAUUUACUGGGUGUAAAGGGAGCGUAGACGGAGUGGCAAGUCUGAAGUGAAAACCCUGGGCUUAACCUGGGGACUGCUUUGGAAACUGUUAAUCUAGAGUGUUGGAGAGGUAAGUGGAAUUCCUGGUGUAGCGGUGAAAUGCGUAGAUAUCAGGAAGAACACCGGAGGCGAAGGCGGCUUACUGGACAAUAACUGACGUUGAGGCUCGAAAGCGUGGGGAUCAAACAGAAUUAGAUACCCUGGUAGUCCACGCUGUAAACGAUGAAUACUAGGUGUCGGGGAGCAAAGCUUCUCGGUGCCGUCGCUAACGCAAUAAGUAUUCCACCUGGGGAGUACGUUCGCAAGAAUG
rnacentral:rRNA from 1 species